rnacentral:lncRNA from 1 species
AAAGAGUAAGACUCUGUCUCAAAAAAACAAACAAACAAAAGUAAUAGAAUGGGGAAAAAGAGAUGCCACUGUUUUGUCUACCAUUUUCCUUAAAAAGUAGCUGAGAAGCAGCUGAUAUAGCCCCAAAAUGACCAUUGUCACACUAGAGCAACAAGAUUAGGGAACUGUAAGAUACUAGUAAUAGUUCAGAGAAAUAAACUGUUUUUGUAAUUUACAACUUACAAAAACUUUGAUAUGUAUUGUCUCACUUGAAUUCAACUCACCCAGAGGUGAGGAGAGCAAAUACCCCCAACCUCUUGCUAAAGCAUCAGAAGUGAGUCACCUGUCUGUUGGUCAGAGCCAGGCCUGACACCCAGAGCUUCUUCUCCAAAUCCUAGAUUUUAAUAAUUAGCAUGGUUUACUUAUGCCUUAGACCCUCAUUAUGGAGUGCUGAAUGCAUACUGUAGACAGAUAGCAGAGGGUGCCAGUGAGGUGAGAUGGGGCAGCAGCAUGCAGAGGUGGCUGCACACUGGGCCGAGUGUCAGGAGAUGAGGCCCACCUCUGUGUGGUCACCCAUUGCAUAUGUGGAAAGGUCAACACAACACUUGUGACUUCAGCCUUCAAUUUCCUCUGCUGUGAGACCACCAAGCCUCUUUCAGGUUCUUCUAUUCCUGCCCAUCCUGUUAAGGUGCAAAAGCCUAGCAAUGCGAGAAUUAUGAGCCACUUUGAAGGUACCAAAAUACCAACCUGAAACAACUCACAAUGGCUGCGAAGAAUGGAAAAAACAUUUGCCAGGACCAGUGCUACCCGGCCUUCCUGCACUCCAUUGGAGAACAGGAGUGGUACAGAGCCACUGCGAUGCUGAGUCCACAGUGGCAACAGACACCAACUGGCAUCUCCAUGAAAAGUCACAACUGACCGCCUGGCUGCCAAGAUCUUUGGUACAUUACCCCCUUUUCCCCUACCGGUCUCAUUAAAGCCCCAUUCACCCCUAAGAGUGAUUUUGACAUCUGGGAAAGUA